UUUUUAAAUAGAUUUAUAAAUUAAUUUUUUUUAUGUAAAUUUAUGUGUUUAAAAAUUAUUUUUUAAAUAAUAAUAAUUUUUUUUUAUUUGCAGUAUUUAAUUUUAAAAAUAUAAGAAAUUAUGAUUUAGAUAUUUAUAAUAAUAUUAACAUAAUUUGUGCCAGCAGUUGCGGUUAUACAAAUAAUAUAAUUUAUUUUUAUUAAUAAAUAAUUAAAUGAGUUUAGUUAAUUUAUAAUAUAAUUUAUUAGGUGAAAUUUUAAGUUAUUAAUUAAAUUAUUAUUUAGAUUUUGAAGUUAUUAAAUUUUUUUAUAGACUAGGAUUAGAUACCCUAUUAUUAAAAUGUAAAAUUAAUGAUAUUGAAUUAUUAAUAGUUAUGUUCUUUAAAAUUAAAAAUUUUGGCGGUAUUUUAAUCUUUUCAGAGGAACCUGUUCUAUAAUUGAAAAUCCACGAUUAGAAAUACUUAUUUUAAAAAUUUAUAUAUCGUCGUAAUUGAAUAUUUUAAUAGAAUUAUAAUAUUCAUAAUUUUUAAUAAGAAAAUAAAUCAGAUCAAGGUGUAGUUUAUAAAUAAGAAGAAAUGGGUUACAAUAAAUUUAUUUAUGGAUAAUUAGUUUUAAAUUAGUUUGAAAUUGGAUUUGAAUGUAAUUUAAUUUAUAUUGGUUAAAUGAUUUUAGCUCUAAAAUAUGUACAUAUUGCCCGUCGCUCUCAUUUAAAGUGAGAUAAGUCGUAACAAAGUAAAUGUACUGGAAAGUGUAUUUAGAUUGCA
rnacentral:ncRNA from 1 species